AUACGUAGGUGGCAAGCGUUGUCCGGAAUUAUUGGGCGUAAAGCGCAUGUAGGCGGCGUGUUAAGUCUGUCGUGAAACUGCGGGGCUCAGCCCCGUAUGGCGAUGGAAACUGAUGUGCUUGAGUGCAGGAGAGGAAAGGGGAACUCCCAGUGUAGCGGUGAAAUACGUAGAUAUUGGGAAGAACACCGGUGGCGAAGGCGCCUUUCUGGACUGUGUCUGACGCUGAGAUGCGAAAGCCAGGGUAGCGAACGGGAUUAGAUACCCCGGUAGUCCUGGCCGUAAACGAUGGGUACUAGGUGUGGGAGGUAUCGACCCCUUCCGUGCCGGAGUUAACGCAAUUAGUACCCCGCCUGGGGAGUACGGCCGCAAGGCUUAAACUCAAAUGAAUUGACGGGG
rnacentral:rRNA from 1 species